rnacentral:lncRNA from 1 species
GCCAGUCAGACGGGACGUGGAGUGGCACACAGCCCAGCUGCAUAGAUCCCACGCUGACCACAUGUGCAGAUCCUGGCAUGCCGCAGUUUGGAAUACAGAACAGCUCCCAAGGCUAUCAGGUUGGGAGCACGGUGCUAUUCCGUUGUCAGAAAGGUUACCUGCUUCAGGGAUCCACCACCAGGACCUGCCUUCCCAACCUGACCUGGAGUGGAACCCCACCUGACUGUGUCCGUGAGUGCCACCCCACCUGACC